UCAGUUUGUAAAGCACUUCGAUCGAACAUCCUUCACAUGAUCACAUCUGUAUUUCAGUAUUUCCCUCGUCUUGUCUGAACUAGUAUCACCCAGUUCUGUGAACAUCAAGUAGGCAAAAAUACUUUACUUGCUGCAGCUCCAUGUUUAAUUUGCCUACAUACAAACGCGAAACCAUUUGCUGGUGUCAGCUUUCACUUCGAUCAAUCAUCAGAGCCGAAAGCUUUCUCAGCAGGUGGGGCCACUGAUUUUUGAUCCAAGGGGUAGAUCAGUGAAUAGUCAGAUUCCACAACAGUGCACAACAGAGGACGCAGAAGCACAAUUAAACUCGUCUAUCCACCCGUGUUUUCAAGAUGCCACACAAGAGCAAGAAGAAAGGCCAUGGUCACGAUAAAGACCCCAAGGACGCGAAAGAAAGCCAGGUCCUGCUGGAAAACAAUGCUUUUGCGUUAUUGUGAGUCAGGAGAGGGCUCCAGACAGCCCUGUGUGGUAAUCAUCAGAUCAAUGUGGGGAGUGGCUGUUUGAGGAGGCAUGAACGGCAAGAUCCUGCGGUGAGGAGAGCGGGGCAGAGCAGGGUGGAACAAACUUCUUUCAGAGUUUCUCCUCCUGAUCCCUCAUGGCGUACGCAGCAUACUGGAUGAGCCUUAAAGGAGAGGCUCCUGCCUCCCCACAGAUCCAUCAUAGCAGCAGGUCUUCAAACUCCUAUUCCACUGCAGAGUCCUACUAUGGCAAGGUACUGACUCCCCUCCUCCUGCUGUAGAAGGAUGAAUCUCUCAAAAUUCAAUAUA